rnacentral:rRNA from 1 species
UACGUAGGGUGCAAGCGUUAAUCGGAAUUACUGGGCGUAAAGCGUGCGCAGGCGGUUGUGCAAGACAGAUGUGAAAUCCCCGGGCUCAACCUGGGAACUGCAUUUGUGACUGCACGGCUGGAGUGCGGCAGAGGGGGAUAGAAUUCCGCGUGUAGCAGUGAAAUGCGUGAGAUAUGCGGAGGACACCGAUGGCGAAGGCAAUCCCCUGGGCCUGCACU